GCUGAGGUGAGCAGCCGGAGGUACUGCACCACACUGUCGGAGGUGGUCUCCUCAUUGAAGAGCCUGAGCAGAGUGUCCUCCUGUUCCUCAGCCUGCUGGCACUGCUCCACCACAUUCACAACCUUCAAGAAGGACCAUCAAUCAGAUGCAGACUCCAUCAGUCUCCUCGCUCUCUUCUCCGUGUCCGCCUUGUCCAAGAUGUACUCCUGAAAUCAAGAGUUAGUCGGCGUUGGCCCUCCUCCACCUCCUCCUCCAGGCGCCCCAAACGCUGCAGCAGCUCCUGGUUGGUGAUGGACAGGGUCUCGUGACGCUGAA